CGCGUAGGCGGUCGCGUGCGUCGGAGGUGAAAUCCCCGGGCUUAACCCGGGACCUGCCUCUGAUACGGCGCGGCUUGAGUCCGGGAGAGGGGAGCAGAAUUCCCAGUGUAGCGGUGAAAUGCGUAGAUAUUGGGAGGAAUACCGGUGGCGAAGGCGGCUCCCUGGACCGGUACUGACGCUGGGGCGCGAAAGCGUGGGGAGCAAACAGGAUUAGAUACCCUGGUAGUCCACGCCGUAAACGAUGGGUGCUUGGUGUCGGGGGUAUCGACCCCUCCGGUGCCGAAGCUAACGCAUUAAGCACCCCGCCUGGGGAGUACGGUCGCAAGGCUGAA
rnacentral:rRNA from 1 species